CACUUUCAUCCUGACAUUUGCGUAUUCUGUUUGUAAAGAAAAGUCUUUGUCACUACAUUCCGUGGGUUUUUCAUGUGAUAAAAGCUGCAAAUGCAACAAAAUUCUUUUAAAAUCUCAGUUUUCAUGCUUUAUAUUGCCAAACGCUCUCUGAUGUUUGCAUUACAAAAAGCCGUAUUGUAGGUUUUACCUUCAAAAUCACAUUAUAUGGUAUUUAAAUACUAGGGAUUUAAUCAUCUGAUAAGUUUAAUUAAACGACUAUGAAUGAAAUUUCACAUUUCCAUUAAGACUGGGGUGAAAGCACCAUUGUACUCCUGUGGAUGUGCUGCCACUCAGUGUUCAUUACAGGAAAAUACCUGUAGGGCUACAACACGUGGACUUACAGCAACAGAUAUAGCCGCGAUUCCACAAGCAUCUACUCGGCGCAGUACGGUUCGCCACUAUUGUAUCUGACUCGGCUCGUCUCGGUUUAGUUGUUUUUCCAUAUAGCCUCAUCGUGGGUGGAGUCGUCAUAGCAUGGGGAGCCGAAAGUCCCUUAACGUCAUUUGCGUGCGACACAAACGCAACAUAACGGAGGCGAUGGUUCACCUGCUGCUCGGUCUGUGGCUUUCUGUCAGAUUCAAAGUAAUAGAAGAGUCGGAGAAAGCUGAGAGCGGCGAGUCGAAACACUGAGGAGACACACAGGAGAGUUUGGGAGGCGAUACAGCAGUAUCAAGCUGAAGACAAGAGGAUAUGAACGAGACGACAUAUGAGGAUGCUCUCUUAUGAGACUUCAUAGGAUUUACCUGAAGCAGCAGCACAUGAGCCUGCAGUGGCACAAGGUGUAGAGGAGGAGGACAGAGAUGUACAGGAUGCACUGAUGCACUACGUGUCAUACAAAAGUUAAGUUAUUCUUCUCGUUAUACUUCUGUUUUUCUGUCCCCAGACUGCUAUUGUUUUCUUUAAUGCAAUUCUGACAAUAAACUUUUGUACCUUUUGCA